GGUCAGCGUGAAGGCCAGGGACGCAGACAAGGUGUUUGAGUAUAUGCACAAGCUGCGGUGAGCUGUCGGCUGCGUGACAAAGGAGAUCGCCAAGGGGGAGGGGUGGUUCCGGAGCUAUUAAGGCUGGUGACCCUCGACCUCCGCAGGACGCUGGCCCUAUCCCACGCCGCUGGAGGCCCUCGCGGCCGCUGGGAGCCGGGGCGCGUUCCUCCACAAAACCUUGAUCUGGAGCUUUGACGACGCAGGCCUCCAUGUUGGGCCGAGGAGGAGAAGAAGGGGAAGAAGGGGGGCACGUCGGAGGUGCCGGUCGAGCGUGCCAUCGAGGACGUUGAUGACAGCAGCAUGGGCGAGGCCGGGGAGGAGAUCAUGGUUGAUGCUUUACCGCCUGAAGUUGUUGACCUGGAACAAGAGGGUAAGGUGGAUGUGAGAACGGAAGCGCACGCCGUGGUGCAGGAUGUCGUGGUGUCCGAAGCACAUGAGGUGCCGGAACCAGAGGUGAAGAGUGAGGAGGUGGUGGUCCGAGACACAACCAAGGUGCAUCCUGCGCAUCAACCAGAGACGAAGGCCGAUGAGGUGCUGGUCAGGGAUACGGACACGGCUGUUGUGGUGUAGGAAAUGGAAGCAAAGGGUGAGGUGUCAUGGUCUCGUGAGGCAGCUGGUGCGCAGACUACAGAGGCGGGCUACUUUUGUUGCUGGUGGUACGGGGGCAGGCAGUGGCGGUGGCUGUUGCUUAGAUGUCUUUGCUGGUUCAGAGAGAUAGAUGGAGUAUGAUGAUUGCAUUAAGGAUUGUGAUACGGUUGUUGAGAGGGGAAGAGAACUUCAUGCUAACUGUGCUGACUUCAAGAUGGUCUCAAGGGCACUGGCAAGGAAAGCAACUGCUCUUGUCAAACUUGCCAAGUCUUCCAAAGACUACGAUGUUGCCAUUGAUUCCAGAAGGCUCUAACUGAGCAUCAAACCCAGGUACCCUGAAAAGACUAAAUGAUGCUAAACGAGCAAAGAAGGAGCUCAAGCAACAAGAGUAUUAUGAUCCAUAAAAAGCUGAUGAGGAGCGAGAGAAAGCAAAAAUACCCAGAAGCAGUGAAGCAUUACACUAAAGCGCUCAGGAGAAACCUGAAGGAUCCAAAGUUAAUGAUGAAGGAUGCAGCUGAGAGAUACCUUUCUUAAACAUACCAAAUCUCAUACAGAGCACAGCAUGGUCAUGUAGUUCGAUAACAACAUUACUUGUUUUUCCCUGCUGCCGAAUAUGUUGUCAUGUGUUGUAAAUUUUCAACAAGUGCAGUGAGAAGUCUUAGAAGAUCAGUGGACAUGUAGUCUUAUUUAUGACGUCCAAAUUUCAUCAUA